rnacentral:rRNA from 1 species
GAUGAACGCUGGCGGCGUGCUUAACACAUGCAAGUCGAACGAUGAAGCCCAGCUUGCUGGGUGGAUUAGUGGCGAACGGGUGAGUAACACGUGAGUAACCUGCCCUUAACUCUGGGAUAAGCCUGGGAAACUGGGUCUAAUACCGGAUAGGAGCGCCUACCGCAUGGUGGGUGUUGGAAAGAUUUAUCGGUUUUGGAUGGACUCGCGGCCUAUCAGCUUGUUGGUGAGGUAAUGGCUCACCAAGGCGACGACGGGUAGCCGGCCUGAGAGGGUGACCGGCCACACUGGGACUGAGACACGGCCCAGACUCCUACGGGAGGCAGCAGUGGGGAAUAUUGCACAAUGGGCGAAAGCCUGUUGCAGCGACGCCGCGUGAGGGAUGACGGCCUUCGGGUUGUAAACCUCUUUCAGUAGGGAAGAAGCGAAAGUGACGGUACCUGCAGAAGAAGCACCGGCUAACUACGUG